ACUUUGAAGAAACCUGUCAGAGUAGAGGGCCUUCAUUCUGCUUCUGGCCUUACUCUCACUUGCCUUGGGAUCUUUAUCAAGUCUGUUGAAUAUCUUUGCACUUUAGUGUCUAUAUCUGUAAAGUGGAAAAUUUUUGUGUGUGGUUUUUUAAAUAUCUCUUAAAUCCUGAUAAACAGCUAAACAGUAUCAAAAGGCAGCUAAAUUGUAUAAAAAAUACCUGCGAAAACCAUACAAAUGCUUACCAGAAAAGGCAGUGGCCCAUUACCAGCAGGCCAUCAAACUUAGCCCCAGUCAUCACGUGGCCAUGGUGAACUUGGGAAGACUCUACAGGUCACUGGGAGAGAACAGCAUGGCUGAAGAAUGCGCCCUGCAGGUGGCACACAAAGCUGAGAUAUUGUCACCUUUGGGAGCACUGUAUUACAACACUGGCCGAUACGAAGAGGCUUUGCAGAUUUACCAGGAAGCUGCAGCACUUCAGCCUUCUCAGAGGGAGCUCCGCUUGGCACUGGCUCAGGUUUUGGCCGUGAUGGGUCAGACAAAAGAAGCUGAAAAGAUGACCAAUCACAUUGUGUCGGAGGAGACCGGAUGCCUUGAAUGCUAUCGCCUCUUGUCAGCCAUCUAUAGCAAGCAGGAGAACCACGACAAGGCACUUGAUGCUAUAGACAAGGCUCUCCAGCUGAAACCAAAGGACCCAAAAGUCAUUUCUGAACUUUUUUUCACAAAAGGAAACCAAUUAAGAGAGCAGAACCUUCUCGACAAAGCUUUUGAGAGCUAUAGAGUGGCUGUGCAACUAAACCCAGACCAAGCACAGGCCUGGAUGAACAUGGGUGGCAUCCAACACAUCAAGGGAAAAUAUGUGUCUGCAAGAGCUUAUUAUGAGAGAGCCUUACAGCUGGUUCCAGACAGCAAACUGCUGAAGGAAAAUCUUGCCAAAUUGGAUCGCCUAGAAAAACGAUUACAAGAAGUUCGAGAAAAGGAUCAAACAUAGCACCACCGUCUGACCCAACCUCAUAGGAUAAUGUGGUGCCCCUGAAAGGGGAGUGAUGGAAGCCUUGCUUUCACAUCAGCAGGGGCACAACUAAUGAGAUUUUCUCUCAUUCCGAGUUCAGGGUGACACAUUUUGGGACAUCUGCUGGUAGCCCAGUGCUGAAGGACUUGCUUUUCCAUGAAGAAGACGAAAACAGCAAACAAGGGCAAGAAGAUCUGAGAGGGAAGGAGAAUGACAUUUACACAUUUUACAGAUUUUUGUUUGGUUUAACUCCAGAUUUCUCUUGAUAUAUCUCUGUGCUUUUGAGACCUGGAGAUCUAAUUCUGUUUAGACAUUUUUUGUCCCAGAAAUACAGAAGUUUGAAAUGCUAUGAAGGCAGAGCUUCUAUUCUUUAUGGGAUGAAAUAUUUCAAAAGAGGAUAAAUCCUCUGUGGUAAGCCAUUUGGAAAAUCCUACCAAGAAUUGGCUUGUUUAAUUCUCCAGAACCAGAAAUGAGUAUCUAAUAGCUUUUGUAGAACCUUCCAGAAUAUGUGGGGAAAAAGGGCUAUUGCUAAGUGAGCUUUAUCUAAUAUCCUCCUAAGAGUUUUACUAGUGCUUUUUUGAGGAAUUAUAGGGAAGCUCCUGGAAUUGUAUAUGGAUAUCUUUAUCCCUAGGGGGAAAUCAAGGAGCUGGGCACCCCUAAUUCUUUAUGGAAGUGUUUAAAACUAUUUUAAUUUUAUUACAGGUAUUACUAGAGUAGUGGUUCUACUCUAAGAUUUCAAAAGUGCAUUUAAAAUCAUACAUGUUCCCGCCUGCAAAUAUAUUGUUAUUUUGGUGGAGAAAAAAAUAGUAUAUUCUACAUAAAAAAUUAAAGAUAUUAACUAAGAGAAA
rnacentral:sRNA from 1 species